CCCUUAGACGUUCUGGGCCGCACGCGCGCUACACUGACCAGUGCAACAAGCAUCCGUCCUUGGCCGACAGGCCCGGGCAAUCUUUGAACGCUGGUCGUGAUGGGGAUAGACUUUUGCAAUUUUUGGUCUUCAACGAGGAAUUCCUAGUAAACGCAAGUCAUCAACUUGCAUUGAUUACGUCCCUGCCUUUUGUACACACCGCCCGUCGCACCUACCGAUUGAAUGGUCCGGUGAAGCCUCCGGAUUGGCGCGCACCUCGGUGCCGCCGAGAAGUUGGCUAAACCUUACCAUUUAGAGGAAGGUGAAGUCGUAACA
rnacentral:rRNA from 1 species